CCUACGGGGGGCAGCAGUGGGGGAUAUUGCACAAUGGGGGCAACCCUGACGCAGCGACGCCGCGUGUGGGAAGACGGUCCUCUGGAUUGUAAACUACUGACUCCAGGGACGAAGAUGACGGUACCUGGGGAGUAAGCUCCGGCUAACUACGUGCCAGCAGCCGCGGUAAUACGUAGGGAGCAAGCGUUGUCCGGAAUUACUGGGUGUAAAGGGAGCGUAGGCGGGAUGGCAAGUUGGGUGUUAAAUCUACCGGCUAAACUGGUAGUCGCACUCAAAACUGCUAUUCUUGAGUGAAGUAGAGGCAGGCGGAAUUCCUAGUGUAGCGGUGAAAUGCGUAGAUAUUAGGAGGAACACCAGUGGCGAAGGCGGCCUGCUGGGCUUUUACUGACGCUGAGGCGCGAAAGUGUGGGGAGCAAACAGGAUUAGAUACCCUAGUAGUC
rnacentral:rRNA from 1 species